GGAUAUUAUAAAAGAUUCUGAUUUUUGCAGUUAGAUCAUUAAAAUUAUUUCAGUGCUUCUGGAUAAAAUGUGCUUUUAGAAAAGUUGAGACUAUGAGGGUAAAUACUUUAUCUCAGGGAUAAGUUAAUGUUAUAGAAAUAUUUUCUGGUUUUCACAUUCUAAUAUUUUACAAAGAUGUUUUAUUACCUCUAAAUUAGAUAUGUUUAAGUAUAGUUACUGUUUAUGAACAAUUAGCAAUUUUUCCUGGGAUGUGAAACCAUUCCAUCACUAUUCAAAUACUUUUAAUUUUAACUUAAAAAGAAAUAAUAUAAAGACCAAUAUUUGUGCUAAUGAUGAUCAAGUUCUUACUUGAUCGAUCAUAAUUAAUGCAUUUUCACAAGAUUUUUUGGGAGGGGUUCCUAAGAUUUCAGGUCAUCAAAAUAAAGAAAGUUUUCUUUUCCUUAACUUUGAGGUUUUCUAUCUUUGUUUUGUCUCACAACUCCAGCUUUGGCAAUGGCAUCUUGUGGUUAACCUCAAAGUGAGCAUCUU
rnacentral:lncRNA from 1 species